UACGUAGGUGACAAGCGUUGUCCGGAUUUACCGGGCGUAAAGAGCGCGCAGGCGGUCGGAUAAGUCGAAUGUGAAAGCCCCUGGCUCAACCAGGGAGGGUCAUUCGAUACUGUUCGACUCGAAGGCAGGAGAGGGAAGUGGAAUUCCGGGUGUAGUGGUGAAAUGCGUAGAUAUCCGGAGGAACACCAGUGGCGAAGGCGACUUUCUGGCCUGUUCUUGACGCUGAGGCGCGAAAGCUAGGGGAGCAAACGGG
rnacentral:rRNA from 1 species